UACAUUUAAAAUAUAACAUGUUUUUAUUAACCAUGUCUCUGCAUAACCAAUCUAAUCAUAUUCAACUUGAUGUUCUUGGAAAGUUUAGUUAAGUUCUUGUCAUAAUCUUCUAUCUUACGUAUUAGUUUUAAGGAUAACUCCUCAAACAUCUUUCAAAUUACUUGUUUUCUUAGCAUAAAUCUUGAAAAGCUUAGAUAUAUUUAAUCUGCAUAUUCAUUUAGUUUCUUUCAUAAUAAUCGUGUAAUUUUUAGGCAAGGAAUAUGUGUAACAUGUUUGGAUCUCAAAAUUAAAAAGGAUAUAUUGAAUUAAAAAAUGUAGAAAGAGUGAUGGUUCAAGUUCUGAUUAAUUAUAUCCUCCUAUUUUAGUUAUUAUGUUGAAUUAAUUACUAUUUAUGUAUUAUUUAUUUUAUGAAGUUUAGGUGGGAAGCUCUCAUGUGCUGAUGUGUCAAGUUGUAGGAGAGAGUUGGCCAACUUUCAUAUAUAUGAUUCGGUUGAGUCUUUAACAUCUUGAAUAAUUGCAUUUGACAUCUGUAGCUUAAUUUAGUUUGUUUUAUUUGCUUUGCUUUUUGUUCAUGACUUCAUGCUUAUU
rnacentral:sRNA from 1 species